CACGCUCGAAGCCCUAGCUCCACUCCAAACAGUCGGCCGUCCGCCGUAGCCGAGCUCUCACGUAUUCGCCCCCGAGCGGCGUACGAACACGCACGUUUCCGUGUGCACUCAAUAAUUCACAAAUCACUUGCACCUCGUAGCCUUGCAAUAUUCAGGCAUCCAGUCGAGCAGGCUUCAUGUGUCAGAAUUUUGCAACGCGAUUUCGCGCACCGCCUUAACAGAAGGUUGCCGUGCCCAAAACAUUGGCGAUUGUGAAAUUUUACAUAAACUUUUGCAUUUGAACGUUCUAAAACUUAACAUAUGAUCGUGUCUGACCGUUUUUGUGAGUGAUAUGAUAGGGGAAAGUUGACCGCGUGACCGUCUGUUACGAGUGUACUGAAGUUCUGCUGAAAAAAUGUUGUCGAUGGAAUCUUUGUGGUGUCGGUCGGAGAGCGAGUUGUCCAGACUAUGUAAGAGUGUAGCAGAAAGGCCAGAUUAUCGCCUGUGUAGGAGGAAGACCACCAAGAGUUUGAUUCCUCAGGGCUUGCUCCACGCUUCAGAGCCUCAGCCAAAGAGCCAUCGCAGAAGACGAUCAGGGACUUGGCCGAGAACUCGAUCCCUGAACGCCCCAUCUCCCAUCCAACAAUUUGGACCAUGCGGCAGGAUAAUGAAGAACUCUGCUAUGGUAAUGCAGAUCCAGGACCCGGCGUCGCAGCGGCUGACGUGGUACAAGCCCCCGCUGACGGUGCUGGUCAUCAAGAAAGUGCACGACGCCACCAUCCUCACACCCUUCGUGCAACUCGUACAUUGGCUAGUUCAUGACAAAAGUAUGGUAGUGUUCGUCGAAGCGGCAGUACUAGACGACACACUCCUCGCAGAGUAUGGCGACUUCACAGCCGUGCGGGAACGACUGAUGACCUUCCGCGCGGGCACUGAUGACCUCACGGACAAGAUAGACUUUAUCAUCUGUCUCGGAGGAGACGGCACGUUGCUGCACGCCAGCUCUCUCUUCCAGCAAUCAGUUCCACCUGUGAUGGCAUUCCACUUGGGCUCGUUAGGGUUCCUCACGCCCUUCGAGUUCAACAACUUUCAGGAUCAAGUCAUGAACGUGUUAGAAGGUCACGCGGCGCUGACGCUGCGGUCGCGGCUGCAGUGCGUGGUGCUGCGCAAGAGUGCGGACAGCGACGUGAACAAGAAGAAGCCGACCACCAUCCUGGUGCUCAACGAGGUGGUGGUGGACCGCGGGCCCUCGCCUUAUCUCUCCAACAUCGAUCUGUUCCUGGACGGGAAACACAUCACAUCUGUGCAAGGAGACGGUCUGAUAGUGUCGACGCCCACGGGCAGCACAGCGUACGCGGUGGCGGCGGGCGCCAGCAUGAUCCACCCGUCCGUGCCCGCCAUCAUGGUCACCCCCAUCUGUCCGCACUCGCUCUCCUUCCGCCCCAUAGUUGUACCAGCGGGGGUAGAACUCAAGAUCGCACUUUCACCGGAGGCGCGAAACGCGAUGUGGGUAUCGUUCGAUGGAAGAAAUCGACAAGCAUUGCAGCACGGAGAUAGAUAACGCCCAGUCUGGACGCGCGCAACUCGGCCAGCGUCUCGUUCGAUGGCCGCUCGCAGUUGACGCUCAGGCCGGGCGAUAGUUUAUACGUUACGACAUCCGUGUACCCGGUGCCUUCGAUAUGCGCCCAAGAUCAGAUCUCAGAUUGGUUCGACUCAUUGGCAGAGUGCCUGCACUGGAAUGUUCGGAAAAAGCAGAAACAAAUAGACGAGCUCAGCGACAUGACGCACUCGUCCAUGGACAACCUCGACGAACUGGAAAACAAUCACCACGACGACCGGCCCGCGGACACAUGACCAACAUUACAAAACAAACUUAGCGUGUUGGUUUUUUAUUCCUGCGUAAAAGACAUUCGCUGCAUAAAGCCUGAUUUCGUUAGGGUUCAAUAUCGAACCGUUGUAUAAAGUAAGAGGUUUUUCGAUUGUUGUAAGAGUCGUGUGAAUUUUGUGAUAUUGCUAUGACCAUGUUCAAAGUUAAGUAACAUUCCCUUGGACAAUAAAGAAUGAUUUUGUUAUGUCUUCAAUGGGGUAUAUUUUGUUCCUGUUUUAUGAGUAUUUUAAUGUUCUACCCAGUGAUGGUUUUGCCUGGGCGAAAACUUUUAAGCCCGGGGGAAACCCAUCUCUGGUUCUACCUACUUUCAAUGCUGUCAAAUGUUCUUCGUUUUUCAUUUUGUAUUGAUCUGCUCAAUCUGUAUUGAUAUUUGAUUUAUGUAUAAAGUUUAUUUAUUUAUUAAGGUAAUGUUACAAUGACAGAUUUUAUUCAGCCUAAGGUGCUACCAAGUUAUACAGUGCCAAUAAAUUAAUAUAAGGUUAUCUUCAGUGUUUGAAGGGCGCACAAAGGGUAGUUGUUAAUUUGUUUGUCUCAAAAUGUUCAUAAAGCUUUUAUACUGGGAUUGGAUAUUAUAGAUGUUAAGGGAAUUUAGAAAACCGCAAUAUCCAACAAAAUAUGAACUUCUAUUUAUUUUAUACAAUAAAAUUUGGGCUAUGUUCGGUAUUUAAAAAUGCAAUAUUUAUAAAUAUUAAAACUAUUGAAUUUCUAAAUGCAAUGUCGAGAAUAUUUAUCUCAUUCUAUGAUUUACAAAAUAAUGUUAAAUUUCCAAUUCGUGUAAUGAAUGUAUGUAUAUAGAAUGUUUUAUUACAAAUUAUACACGUUUUUGACCUUA